UGGGGAAUUUUGGACAAUGGGCGCAAGCCUGAUCCAGCAAUGCCGCGUGCGGGAAGAAGGCCUUCGGGUUGUAAACCGCUUUUGGCAGGAACGAAAAGCUCUGGGCUAAUACCCUGGGGUGAUGACGGUACCUGCAGAAUAAGCACCGGCUAACUACGUGCCAGCAGCCGCGGUAAUACGUAGGGUGCGAGCGUUAAUCGGAAUUACUGGGCGUAAAGCGUGCGCAGGCGGUUGUGCAAGACAGGCGUGAAAUCCCCGGGCUUAACCUGGGAAUGGCGCUUGUGACUGCACGGCUGGAGUGCGGCAGAGGGGGAUGGAAUUCCGCGUGUAGCAGUGAAAUGCGUAGAUAUGCGGAGGAACACCGAUGGCGAAGGCAAUCCCCUGGGCCUGCACUGACGCUCAUGCACGAAAGCGUGGGGAGCAAACAGG
rnacentral:rRNA from 1 species